CGGAGGAUGCAAGCGUUAUCCGGAUUUAUUGGGUUUAAAGGGUGCGCAGGUUGUUUGAUAAGUCAGUGGUGAAAGUCUGUCGCUUAACGGUAGGAUUGCCAUUGAUACUGUUAGACUUGAAUAUGGAUGAGGUAGGCGGAAUGUGUAGUGUAGCGGUGAAAUGCAUAGAUAUUACACAGAACACCGAUUGCGAAGGCAGCUUACUAAUCCAUCAUUGACGCUGAGGCACGAAAGCGUGGGGAUCAAACA
rnacentral:rRNA from 1 species